AUCUUGACAUCUUGUGCACAUCCGAUCUUCAGCUCUUAAACCAAAGGCACUCGCAAAGACUUUGGAAUUGAUUCAUAGCCUUCCAUCAGCUUGCUUCUCCACUUGAACUUCCACCUUAGCCACCUUGGGUCUGCUAUCUUCAGGUCAGCCUCUUUGGUCUGCCAUCUUCAAGUCAGCCAGGUUAAACUAGGUUGGGCUUGUCUUUUGGUCUCUGAAACUUGAUGGCCCUCUUGAUCAAUUCUAAGCUUGUUGCUGCGCCUUCUUUUGGCUUCUUUGAAGCCUUAAUGGAUCUGAAUACAGCCACCAGCUGACUUCCAGCUCACAUGACCCAUUCAGACCUCUCAAACUCGCCACUUCUUCUUGAGAUAGCAAACGAGCCAAACACCAUCCUUUUUAAGACCCGAACCUGUUUAAAUUUGAAGACAGAUUCUAAAACAAGAGAUUGUAUUUGUUAGAGUAUAGAGAAUAAGCAGAAGAAUAAAAGAGAAUUUGGAGAAUAAGGAGAAUAAUGGAGAAUAAAGAGAAUAUUGGGGAGAAUAAAGAGAAUGAGAGAAUGGAGAAUAGAGAAUAAGCGGAAGCAAAGGAGAAUGGGAAAAGAAAUUUUGCUCAAGAGUUCUUAUGGACAGAGUUUUGCUCUGUUUUCUUGAGUUAAGCCAAAGCAAAUGCCAGCCAAAAACACCAAGAAUCCCAAGACUAUGGAGUUUUAAUGGCUGGAACAAGAUAAACUGAUUGGAAAAUUAAUUUCUCCAUCAAUUAACACAAGAACUCAAGGAAAAACCCAUUUACACGAGCUUCCCAUGAGAAUUUUAAUAAAUAAAAACGACCACAAAAAUUACACAAUGCUUAGUGCUUCUCAUGGUUUAGAAAAAAACAAACACUGAUGGUUAAAAACAAUUUUUCCACCAGUUUUUUUUAAAGAUCUAUUUCUCUUUUUGUCAAGCUUGUUCUUUUGGUCACAAGUCAAUACCAGAUUCAAGCUUUCAAAAAUAAGAGAAAAUAAAUCAGAAAGAGAACUCCACCCUUGUCCUCGUGAAAAGUCAUUGGACUAAGUGAAGAACACAAAACACAAAAAAAAAACAGAAACAGAAAGAGAAUCGAGUUUUAGAUGGAACAAAGAAAGAUGGCUCUGAUACCAUGUUGGGAUUUAUGAGACAAAGCUCAACAAAUGGUGGAAGCAUUCACUUGGUGAAUGAAACCACUUAACCCACACAAAAUAAACUCGAUCUCAAGAGAGAGAAGAGACCAUCAACUUGUGAUGGAAUCCACACAAUAAACAUAAGUAGAACCGAAUCUAUGAGGAAGAAAACGAUUCUAUAAAGGGAAAGCAUCUAGUUUGAGACUAAUCUAAGCAAUGAACACAACACAUAGAGAGUUUGUGUUCUUGAGAUGCAAGACUCAGUAAUCUAGAUGAGAGAAGCAAAUAAAGAAGAGUUUAGUGAGUGUUUAUGAAGUGAUAAGGCUGCCUUAAGGGCAGUCACUACAAACGAUUUUCUCUAAGGACUCUACAUUGCAAAAUAGAAUGAAGAACAAGAUAAAAGAGAGAAAUCACUUCAUUGAUUCUGUGUAACAUUUACAAGCUCGGUUACAUCUCUUUUUAUAGAGAGAAAGGAAGAGAGGAAGCCCUAACACAUGAGCCAAGACUGAGAGUGACAUAAAGAGAGCGUUUUUGUCUUGUUAAGAGCUGAAAGUGACAGUUCAUAAACGGUCACAUGUGACUAAAGUCACAUGUGAGAGCAGACUUGAAUUUGAAUUCGUUUCCCUCCUCUUCUUGUCACUUAUGGGCCUUAUUCCUUGCAUUCUUUAGGCUUUCUUGGCGUCCUCUUCUUCUUCUUAUCUAAUGGGCCUCGGCCUUACACAACCUUAGACUUGUACGGACACCUCUUGGAGUUGACUUGGCCGUACAGUUCUUCUUUUUCUUUAGGCCGAGGCUAGACUUGAUCAAUAGCUUCUUCAGCCUUGUCUUGUCUUCUUUUUAUCUUCUUUGAGAGAUCUUGGAGUUGUCUUCGGCCUUGUCUUGAUGUCAUUGGCCUUGACACUCCUCUUCUUCCUCUUCUUUGACUUGGAGAUGAUCGGCCUUGUCUUGUUGACUUCGGCCUCACCUCUCCUUUCCUUCUUUCACUCUAAUACUCCCCCGCAAGCUUGGUCGUCGAGACGCCAAAGAGGACCAGAGGCCAAGCUUGCAACACGCCAAACUACCUCAUUAAAAAACCUUCAUAAAUAAAACCUCUUGGGAUAAAACUUUAUGAAGGGAAAAAGAGUAUAGUUUGACGGUUGCUUGAUGUAGCUAUGGCCUUGGUUUGAAUUUGCUUUUGAACCGGCUCCUCUCCCAAGUGUUUCCAUUCCUUUAGCUCUUCUUGCCUUGAACUCUCUUCGCAUGAAUCCGUUCUUUGUCAUCUCCUUUGAGGCUCUCCAGCAUUUGAAGCUUUCUUUGGUCUCUUUGAGGCUCUUAUGGUCUCCUUUUUCCCUUAAACAAGAGAUAAAGAAGAAAAGAUUAAGUAAUGCCAUAAGGAAUAUCAAAGAAACAUAUAACCAAAUGAGGAACUUCAAAUCCUAUGAGGAAUAUCAAGAAUAAAAUAUGUACAAUAAACUAAGCAAUUCAUAGAAAGAAUCCGCAAAUGAACUUAAGGGAAUGAAAUAAAGGCAAAUAAAAAAAUGGGAUAGAGUUUAGAGUUUAGUCUGAUUUAUAUGAAGAGGAAUGUGAGGACUUUGAAAUGCGGUUUGGUCACCAAUUAUGCUCCCCCGCACACUAAACAUGUCUUGAGCCUUGAAAUUAUGUGCAAAAUAGAUCUUGACAUCUUGUGCACAUCCGAUCUUCAGCUCUUAAACCAAAGGCACUCGCAAAGACUUUGGAAUUGAUUCAUAGCCUUCCAUCAGCUUGCUUCUCCACUUGAACUUCCACCUUAGCCACCUUGGGUCUGCUAUCUUCAGGUCAGCCUCUUUGGUCUGCCAUCUUCAAGUCAGCCAGGUUAAACUAGGUUGGGCUUGUCUUUUGGUCUCUGAAACUUGAUGGCCCUCUUGAUCAAUUCUAAGCUUGUUGCUGCGCCUUCUUUUGGCUUCUUUGAAGCCUUAAUGGAUCUGAAUACAGCCACCAGCUGACUUCCAGCUCACAUGACCCAUUCAGACCUCUCAAACUCGCCACUUCUUCUUGAGAUAGCAAACGAGCCAAACACCAUCCUUUUUAAGACCCGAACCUGUUUAAAUUUGAAGACAGAUUCUAAAACAAGAGAUUGUAUUUGUUAGAGUAUAGAGAAUAAGCAGAAGAAUAAAAGAGAAUUUGGAGAAUAAGGAGAAUAAUGGAGAAUAAAGAGAAUAUUGGGGAGAAUAAAGAGAAUGAGAGAAUGGAGAAUAGAGAAUAAGCGGAAGCAAAGGAGAAUGGGAAAAGAAAUUUUGCUCAAGAGUUCUUAUGGACAGAGUUAGUUAAGCCAACGCAAAUGCCAGCCAAAAACACCAAGAAUCCCAAGACUAUGGAGUUUUAAUGGCUGGAACAAGAUAAACUGAUUGGAAAAUUAAUUUCUCCAUCAAUUAACACAAGAACUCAAGGAAAAACCCAUUUACACGAGCUUCCCAUGAGAAUUUUAAUAAAUAAAAACGACCACAAAAAUUACACAAUGCUUAGUGCUUCUCAUGGUUUAGAAAAAAACAAACACUGAUGGUUAAAAACAAUUUUUCCACCAGU
rnacentral:lncRNA from 1 species